rnacentral:rRNA from 1 species
UUAAGUUAUUAAGGGCGCACAGUGGAUGCCUUGGCACUAGAAGCCGAUGAAGGACGUUACUAACGACGAUAUGCUUUGGGGAGCUGUAAGUAAGCUUUGAUCCAGAGAUUUCCGAAUGGGGAAACCCAGCAUGAGUUAUGUCAUGUUAUCGAUAUGUGAAUACAUAGCAUAUCAGAAGGCACACCCGGAGAACUGAAACAUCUUAGUACCCGGAGGAAGAGAAAGAAAAUUCGAUUCCCUUAGUAGCGGCGAGCGAAACGGGAAGAGCCCAAACCAACAAGCUUGCUUGUUGGGGUUGUAGGACACUCUAUACGGAGUUACAAAGGACGACAUUAGACGAAUCAUCUGGAAAGAUGAAUCAAAGAAGGUAAUAAUCCUGUAGUCGAAAAUGUUGUCUCUCUUGAGUGGAUCCUGAGUACGACGGAGCACGUGAAAUUCCGUCGGAAUCUGGGAGGACCAUCUCCUAAGGCUAAAUACUCUCUAGUGACCGAUAGUGAACCAGUACCGUGAGGGAAAGGUGAAAAGCACCCCGGAAGGGGAGUGAAAUAGAACCUGAAACCGUGUGCUUACAAGUAGUCAGAGCCCGUUAAUGGGUGAUGGCGUGCCUUUUGUAGAAUGAACCGGCGAGUUACGAUUUGAUGCAAGGUUAAGCAGUAAAUGUGGAGCCGUAGCGAAAGCGAGUCUGAAUAGGGCGUUUAGUAUUUGGUCGUAGACCCGAAACCAGGUGAUCUACCCUUGGUCAGGUUGAAGUUCAGGUAACACUGAAUGGAGGACCGAACCGACUUACGUUGAAAAGUGAGCGGAUGAACUGAGGGUAGCGGAGAAAUUCCAAUCGAACCUGGAGAUAGCUGGUUCUCUCCGAAAUAGCUUUAGGGCUAGCCUCAAGUGAUGAUUAUUGGAGGUAGAGCACUGUUUGGACGAGGGGCCCCUCUCGGGUUACCGAAUUCAGACAAACUCCGAAUGCCAAUUAAUUUAACUUGGGAGUCAGAACAUGGGUGAUAAGGUCCGUGUUCGAAAGGGAAACAGCCCAGACCACCAGCUAAGGUCCCAAAAUAUAUGUUAAGUGGAAAAGGAUGUGGCGUUGCCCAGACAACUAGGAUGUUGGCUUAGAAGCAGCCAUCAUUUAAAGAGUGCGUAAUAGCUCACUAGUCGAGUGACACUGCGCCGAAAAUGUACCGGGGCUAAACAUAUUACCGAAGCUGUGGAUUGUCCUUUGGACAAUGGUAGGAGAGCGUUCUAAGGGCGUUGAAGCAUGAUCGUAAGGACAUGUGGAGCGCUUAGAAGUGAGAAUGCCGGUGUGAGUAGCGAAAGACGGGUGAGAAUCCCGUCCACCGAUUGACUAAGGUUUCCAGAGGAAGGCUCGUCCGCUCUGGGUUAGUCGGGUCCUAAGCUGAGGCCGACAGGCGUAGGCGAUGGAUAACAGGUUGAUAUUCCUGUACCACCUAUAAUCGUUUUAAUCGAUGGGGGGACGCAGUAGGAUAGGCGAAGCGUGCGAUUGGAUUGCACGUCUAAGCAGUAAGGCUGAGUAUUAGGCAAAUCCGGUACUCGUUAAGGCUGAGCUGUGAUGGGGAGAAGACAUUGUGUCUUCGAGUCGUUGAUUUCACACUGCCGAGAAAAGCCUCUAGAUAGAAAAUAGGUGCCCGUACCGCAAACCGACACAGGUAGUCAAGAUGAGAAUUCUAAGGUGAGCGAGCGAACUCUCGUUAAGGAACUCGGCAAAAUGACCCCGUAACUUCGGGAGAAGGGGUGCUCUUUAGGGUUAACGCCCAGAAGAGCCGCAGUGAAUAGGCCCAAGCGACUGUUUAUCAAAAACACAGGUCUCUGCUAAACCGUAAGGUGAUGUAUAGGGGCUGACGCCUGCCCGGUGCUGGAAGGUUAAGAGGAGUGGUUAGCUUCUGCGAAGCUACGAAUCGAAGCCCCAGUAAACGGCGGCCGUAACUAUAACGGUCCUAAGGUAGCGAAAUUCCUUGUCGGGUAAGUUCCGACCCGCACGAAAGGCGUAACGAUUUGGGCACUGUCUCAACGAGAGACUCGGUGAAAUCAUAGUACCUGUGAAGAUGCAGGUUACCCGCGACAGGACGGAAAGACCCCGUGGAGCUUUACUGUAGCCUGAUAUUGAAAUUCGGCACAGCUUGUACAGGAUAGGUAGGAGCCUUUGAAACGUGAGCGCUAGCUUACGUGGAGGCGCUGGUGGGAUACUACCCUAGCUGUGUUGGCUUUCUAACCCGCACCACUUAUCGUGGUGGGAGACAGUGUCAGGCGGGCAGUUUGACUGGGGCGGUCGCCUCCUAAAAGGUAACGGAGGCGCUCAAAGGUUCCCUCAGAAUGGUUGGAAAUCAUUCAUAGAGUGUAAAGGCAUAAGGGAGCUUGACUGCGAGACCUACAAGUCGAGCAGGGUCGAAAGACGGACUUAGUGAUCCGGUGGUUCCGCAUGGAAGGGCCAUCGCUCAACGGAUAAAAGCUACCCCGGGGAUAACAGGCUUAUCUCCCCCAAGAGUUCACAUCGACGGGGAGGUUUGGCACCUCGAUGUCGGCUCAUCGCAUCCUGGGGCUGUAGUCGGUCCCAAGGGUUGGGCUGUUCGCCCAUUAAAGCGGUACGCGAGCUGGGUUCAGAACGUCGUGAGACAGUUCGGUCCCUAUCCGUCGUGGGCGUAGGAAAUUUGAGAGGAGCUGUCCUUAGUACGAGAGGACCGGGAUGGACAUACCUCUGGUGUACCAGUUGUCGUGCCAACGGCAUAGCUGGGUAGCUAUGUGUGGACGGGAUAAGUGCUGAAAGCAUCUAAGCAUGAAGCCCCCCUCAAGAUGAGAUUUCCCAACUUCGGUUAUAAGAUCCCUCAAAGAUGAUGAGGUUAAUAGGUUCGAGGUGGAAGCAUGGUGACAUGUGGAGCUGACGAAUACUAAUCGAUCGAAGACUUAAUCAA